GUGGGGAAUAUUGCACAAUGGGCGCAAGCCUGAUGCAGCAACGCCGCGUGAGGGAUGACGGCCUUCGGGUUGUAAACCUCUUUUAGUAGGGAAGAAGCGUAAGUGACGGUACCUGCAGAAAAAGCACCGGCUAACUACGUGCCAGCAGCCGCGGUAAUACGUAGGGUGCAAGCGUUGUCCGGAAUUAUUGGGCGUAAAGAGCUCGUAGGCGGCUUGUCGCGUCUGCUGUGAAAUCCCGGAGCUCAACUCCGGGCGUGCAGUGGGUACGGACAGGCUGGAGUGCGGUAGGGGAGAUUGGAAUUCCUGGUGUAGCGGUGGAAUGCGCAGAUAUCAGGAGGAACACCGAUGGCGAAGGCAGAUCUCUGGGCCGUAACUGACGCUCAUGCACGAAAGCGUGGGGAGCAAACAGGAUUAGAAACCCCGGUAGUCC
rnacentral:rRNA from 1 species